rnacentral:rRNA from 1 species
UUAGGAAUCUUGGACAAUGGACGAAAGUCUGAUCCAGCCAUGCCGCGUGAGUGAUGAAGGCCUUCGGGUUGUAAAGCUCUUUAGUCCACGAAUAUAAUGACUGUAGUGGAAGAAUAAGCCCCGGCUAACUUCGUGCCAGCAGCCGCGGUAAUACGAAGGGGGCGAGCGUUGUUCGGAAUCACUGGGCGUAAAGAGUGCGUAGGCGGCGAUAAAAGUUAGAAGUGAAAGCCCAGGGCUCAACCCUGGAAUUGCUUUUAAAACUAGAUUGCUAGAAUUCGGGAGAGGAUAGCGGAAUUGUCAGUGUAGCAGUGAAAUGCGUAGAUAUUGACAGGAACACCAGUGGCGUAAGCGGCUAUCUGGACCGACAUUGACGCUGAGGCACGAAAGCGUGGGGAUCAAACAGGAUUAGAUACCCGUGUAGUCC